CUGGAUGUGGCAGCCACUGGAACAGACACAAUGGAUGUUUCAGAAGUCUUAUGAGGAUUUAUAUUGGAGCCUAUUAUCUAUAUCAAAAUCUUAUUUAUAUCU